AUUGAACGCUGGCGGCAGGCCUAACACAUGCACGUCGAGCGGAGCGGCGGGCGGGUGAGUAAUGCCUAGGAAUCUGCCUGGUAGUGGGGGAUCACGUCCGGAAACGGGCGCUAAUCCCGCAUACUAUCAGAUGAGCCUCGGUCGGAUUCGAUGGGUUGUGGGGUAAAGGCCUACCACGGCGACGAUCCGGAACUGGUCUGAGAGGAUGAUCAGUCACACUGUAACUGAGACACGGUCCAGACUCCUACGGUAGGCAGCAGUGGGGAAUAUUGGACAAUGGGCGAAAGCCUGAUCCAGCCAUGCCGCGUGUGUGAAGAAGGUCUUCGGAUUGUAAAGCACUUUAAGUUGGGAGGCGUUACCAACAGAAUAAGCACCGGCUAACUUCGUGCCAGCCGCCGCGGUAAUUC
rnacentral:rRNA from 1 species